rnacentral:rRNA from 1 species
UACGUAGGGCGCAAGCGUUAUCCGGAAUUAUUGGGCGUAAAGAGCUCGUAGGCGGUUUGUCGCGUCCGCUGUGAAAACUCGGGGCUUAACCCCGAGCCUGCAGUGGAUACGGGCAGACUAGAGGUAGGUAGGGGAGAAUGGAAUUCCCGGUGUAGCGGUGAAAUGCGCAGAUAUCGGGAGGAACACCGGUGGCGAAGGCGGUUCUCUGGGCCUUACCUGACGCUGAGGAGCGAAAGCGUGGGGAGCGAACAGG